rnacentral:rRNA from 1 species
GACGAACGCUGGCGGCGCGCCUAACACAUGCAAGUCGAACGGAGCUGAGAGAAGCUUGCUUUUCUUAGCUUAGUGGCGAACGGGUGAGUAACGCGUGAGUAACCUGCCCUGGAGUGGGGGACAACAGUUGGAAACGACUGCUAAUACCGCAUAAGCCCACGAUCCGGCAUCGGAUUGAGGGAAAAGGAUUUAUUCGCUUCAGGAUGGACUCGCGUCCAAUUAGCUAGUUGGUGAGGUAACGGCCCACCAAGGCGACGAUUGGUAGCCGGACUGAGAGGGUGGACGGCCACAUUUGGACUGAGACAAGGCCCCGGCUCCCACGGGAGGCAGGCGUUGGGGGUAAUGGCCAAUGGGGGGAAACCUGAAGCAGCGGCGGCGGGUUGAGGAAAGAGGUUUUCGGAUUGUAAACUCCUUUCGUUAGGGAAGAUAAUGGCGGUACCUAACAAGAAAGCACCGGCUAACUACGUG